AAUAUGUGGCAUACGGCUCAGUAACACGUAGUCAACAUGCCCAGGGGACGUGGAUAACCUCGGGAAACUGAGGAUAAACCGCGAUAAGUCACUACUUCUGGAAUGGGUAAUGACUUAAACCUAUAUGGCCCCUGGAUUGGACUGCGGCCGAUCAGGCUGUUGGUGAGGUAAUGGCCCACCAAACCUGUAACCGGUACGGGCUCUGAGAGGAGGAGCCCGGAGAUGGGCACUGAGACAAGGGCCCAGGCCCUAUGGGGCGCAGCAGGCGCGAAACCUCUGCAAUAGGCGAAAGCCUGACAGGGUUACUCUGAGUGAUUUCCGUUAAGGAGAUCUUUUGGCACCUCUAAAAAUGGUGUAGAAUAAGGGGUGGGCAAGUCUGGUGUCAGCCGCCGCGGUAAUACCAGCACCCCGAGUGGUCGGGACGAUUAUUGGGCCUAAAGCAUCCGUAGCCGGUUUUACAAGUCCUCCGUUAAAUCCAACUGCUUAACAGAUGGGCCGCGGAGGAUACUAUAAGACUAGGAGGCAGGAGAGGCAAGCGGUACUCAGUGGGUAGGGGUAAAAUCCGUUGAUCCAUUGAAGACCACCAAUGGCGAAGGCGGCUUGCCAGAAUGCGCUCGACGGUGAGGGAUGAAAGCUGGGGGAGCAAACCGGAUUAGAUACCCGGGUAGUCCCAGCUGUAAACGAUGCA
rnacentral:rRNA from 1 species